rnacentral:rRNA from 1 species
ACUCAAAUGAAUUGACGGGGGCCCGCACAAGCAGCGGAGCGUGUGGUUUAAUUCGAGGCUACACGAAGAACCUUACCAGGGCUUGACAGGGACGUGGUAGGGAAGGGAAACCGGACCGACCCGCAAGGGAGCGUCCACAGGUGCUGCAUGGCUGUCGUCAGCUCGUGCCGUGAGGUGUUAGGUUAAGUCCUGUAACGAGCGCAACCCCUGCCCCUAGUUACAAGUGUCUAGGGGGACUGCCUGGGCAACUGGGAGGAAGGUGGGGACGAUGUCAAGUCAGCAUGGCCUUUAUGUCCUGGGCGACACACACGCUACAAUGGCCGGUACAAUGGGAUGCCAACCCGCAAGGGGGAGCGGACCUCAUCAAAGCCGGUCUCAGUUCGGAUUGGGGGCUGCAACCCGCCCCCAUGAAGUCGGAGUUGCUAGUAACCGCGCAUCAGCCAUGGUGCGGUGAAUGCGUUCCCGGGCCUUGUACACACCGCCCGU